rnacentral:rRNA from 1 species
UACGUAGGUGACAAGCGUUAUCCGGAUUUACUGGGCGUAAAGGGCGUGUAGGCGGUCUGGCAAGUCAGAAGUGAAAUUCCUGAGCUCAACUCGGGCGCUGCUUCUGAAACUGCUAGACUUGAGUGCUGGAGGGGAUAAAGGAGUUCCUAGUGGAGCGGUAAAAUGCGCAGAUAUUAGGAAGAACACCGGUGGCGAAGGCGGCUACCUGGACUGUAACUGACGUUGAGGAUCGAAAGCGUGGGGAGCAAAC